UAUAGGGAUGCAUGUCUUGUGUUUUGGUUGUUGGAGCUUAAAGUUACAUUUUUAUAAAAAAAAUGAAGAAAAAGUUACACUUCCUAUCUACUAAUUUCAUCUGUUUGAAAUACCUCAGGAAAGCAAAACACAAAAGCCUGUCGUUGCAUUCAUUGCUGGACUUACGGCACCCCCAGGCCGUCGCAUGGGUCAUGCUGGAGGUACCAACUAGCUCUUCAUUCUUUGCCCUUCGUAGUUCUUAAUCUACAUAUUUGAGCUCCAUUCAAUUGUACUUUUGAUGUAUUAUUGAGUUGAAAUAUGAUCCUUGCAUUUAGUUGAGAUAAGUUACUGGGAACAUCUUUUUUUUACCAUUCUAUUGUUCAUGAGUCUGGGCAAUUCUGUAUGACUGUAUCGGACCAGUAUGAAUAUGGCAUCUGUUCAGCCAUUUGCAGUUGAGGGCAAUUCUGCAUAUAUUUUUUAUUUUAGCGUUGAAAUCAUGUCUGCAAAAUUGAGAAAAUCCCUUGUUACUGGCUUACUGGUAUAACAUUCAUCAAACCUAAUUUGUGUGAUUGAUUAGCCGUAAUCAUCAACUAUAGUGCUGUUAUUCAUUCAUCUCUGACCAUUCUGAUUUUGACUGCACUUUUGGUACAGCUGAGUUCCAUUUUUUUUUGGGAGCUGGAGCUGUGGGAGCAUUAGAUGUAUUUUGGAUUAUACAUGUUUUAGUCAUUUAAUUUUUUAAUUUAUUUUACAAAUUGAAAAAUCCUGCAUGAAUCUUGGAGCUAGAAUUGUGUGCUGAAUAGGCCCUUUAGUUUGCUACACAUACUAAUUGUAUUUCAUGUUACACAUGCUAAUGUGUACUAAUGCAGUUUUUCACCAGGUUUGGCACAAGUGUUGCAUGUGCUAAUCCAGUUUGAUCCUUCUGUUGUGAACUAUGUGCAGCUAUCGUGGCAGGAGGAAAGGGUACUGCCCAGGACAAAAUCAAGGCACUCAGAGAGGCCGGUGUUACCGUUGUCGAGUCACCAGCGAAGAUUGGAUCUACCAUGUUUGAAAUCUUCAAGCAGCGUGGAAUGGUAGAAUAGAGACACAAUGGUACAGUAGAGACAUUGAGAAACCGCUUUUUGGUGCUCGUGGGCUAUUGCGAGCAAUUCCUAGAUCUUUUUCCCUGGCCACAAACAAAACUGCUGAGGCCUCCUUUUCUUACGUGCCUUCUGUUUGGAAGAUGGCCUGGCCUUCUUCACUUGGAUCACCUUCCAAUGAGCUCAUUUCAAUAAGACGUUUCGGAGCCAUGGACAUGCUGUU
rnacentral:lncRNA from 1 species